GACGAACUUUGGCGGCGUGCUUAACACAUGCAAGUCGAACGGAAAGGCCCUGCUUUUGUGGGGUGCUCGAGUGGCGAACGGGUGAGUAACACGUGAGUAACCUGCCCUUGACUUUGGGAUAACUUCAGGAAACUGGGGCUAAUACCGGAUAGGAGCUCCUGCUGCAUGGUGGGGGUUGGAAAGUUUCGGCGGUUGGGGAUGGACUCGCGGCUUAUCAGCUUGUUGGUGGGGUAGUGGCUUACCAAGGCUUUGACGGGUAGCCGGCCUGAGAGGGUGACCGGCCACAUUGGGACUGAGAUACGGCCCAGACUCCUACGGGAGGCAGCAGUGGGGAAUAUUGCACAAUGGGCGGAAGCCUGAUGCAGCAACGCCGCGUGCGAGAUGACGGCCUUCGGGUUGUAAACCGCUUUCGCCUGUGACGAAGCGUGAGUGACGGUAAUGGGUAAAGAAGCACCGGCUAACUACGUGCCAGCAGCCGCGGUGAUACGUAGGGUGCGAGCGUUGUCCGGAUUUAUUGGGCGUAAAGGGCUCGUAGGUGGUUGAUCGCGUCGGAAGUGUAAUCUUGGGGCUUAACCCUGAGCGUGCUUUCGAUACGGGUUGACUUGAGGAAGGUAGGGGAGAAUGGAAUUCCUGGUGGAGCGGUGGAAUGCGCAGAUAUCAGGAGGAACACCAGUGGCGAAGGCGGUUCUCUGGGCCUUUCCUGACGCUGAGGAGCGAAAGCGUGGGGAGCGAACAGGCUUAGAUACCCUGGUAGUCCACGCUGUAAACGGUGGGUACUAGGUGUGGGGUCCAUUCCACGGGUUCCGUGCCGUAGCUAACGCUUUAAGUACCCCGCCUGGGGAGUACGGCCGCAAGGCUAAAACUCAAAGGAAUUGACGGGGCCCCGCACAAGCGGCGGAGCAUGCGGAUUAAUUCGAUGCAACGCGUAGAACCUUACCUGGGUUUGACAUGGAUCGGGAGUGCUCAGAGAUGGGUGUGCCUCUUUUGGGGUCGGUUCACAGGUGGUGCAUGCCUGUCGUCAGCUCGUGUCGUGAGAUGUUGGGUUAAGUCCCGCAACGAGCGCAACCCUUGUUCACUGUUGCCAGCACGUUAUGGUGGGGACUCAGUGGAGACCGCCGGGGUCAACUCGGAGGAAGGUGGGGAUGACGUCAAGUCAUCAUGCCCCUUAUGUCCAGGGCUUCACGCAUGCUACAAUGGCUGGUACAGAGGGUGGCGAGCCUGUGAGGGUGAGCGAAUCUCGGAAAGCCGGUCUCAGUUCGGAUUGGGGUCUGCAACUCGACCUCAUGAAGUCGGAGUCGCUAGUAAUCGCAGAUCAGCAACGCUGCGGUGAAUACGUUCCCGGGGCU
rnacentral:rRNA from 1 species